GUACUCUUUUAUACCCUAAUGCAAUGCAAAACUUCCUUCCAUCGGGAUAUUUAUGGAAAGCUAUGGUUUUGACGUCUGAACCAACGAACAGUUGGAGGAAAGUUAUAAAGGUUUGGAACAGCAUGAGGGCAGCAGGACCCUGAGGGAGAGGGAGAGUCGAUGGCCCAACACACGCUGUGAUAAAUUGCUCUCACUCCAAUGAGUGUUAUUCAUUGGUCAGAGGCUGGGAAGAAAAGCUUCUCAGGACCCAAAAGUACUGUCAUGAUACUACAGUACAUUUAUGGUUUCAAAUGACCAUUACAAGACAAACUGCACUACUCUAUGGACUUCAAACCAGCUCUGACCUGUUAGCAUGUUUACAGACGCUGAUGUACCCGGAGUCUGUGUUACUGAGUUCGGCUGGACUGAACCUGUGGCGGCUGGUGUUGAGUCUGAGAUGCGGGAGAGUUUGAUUCUGGUUGUCUCUGAUGUUGGAGAUAAAAACUCUGGGAUCUUUGGGGACAGUAAACAGCAUCCGUCUGCUCUACUCCAAAUAUAGCAGCCGUCUACUGGGGGGAAGGGAAUACCUCAAGAAAGAUGGAACCAACAAAAGAGAGAGAGAGAGAGAGAGAGAAAACCACUUCAGAGAAGAGCAUCCUUGAGAUGAAACAGGAGAAAUGUGAUGUAUGAAGAAAAAUAAAAAAAUGAGACAGAAGGGGACACAUCCACCUACACUUCAUAGCUUUAACCUGCAGUUGGUUUAUCCUCACCGUAUGAAAUUGCUGUUCCUAAAUGUUUACUGUCAACAGAUUCAUGACCCUGAAAGCUUUGACCUCGGCUAACGAUGCCCGAUGCAGACUCCUCCGGUGCCAUGGCUCUCACAGAACUUCCUCGCCUCGCUUGACGCCUGUUUUCAUAUUCCUUAUUAUCGGCGCUCCAGCCCCUUCCCGCAUUUUUGAAGUAUAGCAGCUAAAAAAAGCCUGUGCCAGGGGAGCGGCUAAUGAAAAAUGCCCCGCUGUUUCCUCCCCAAUGCCUGAGAGAGCUUCCCAUACAAAAGCAGCGCUGAAGGGUGGUGGCAGACCAGAGACCUGGCCUCUACAGCCCCGUUCCCCGUGCUCCUCGUGGAGGAUUUGCAGUUAAAAGGUUGGAGAUACAUGGGAGAGAGAGCGCUCCCCAUGAGGCGAAAGGCCCUUCCUGUACCACAGCUACUGAAUCGCAGACGACCUUGAAAGCUUUGGCACCGGCAGCUCCUGUAAAUUAUUCACACAGGAUGCAGAAAAGGGCUUCUUCUGCACUCCCGGACGAAAGGGCGGAAGCCAAAAGCAAGCGCCGCCACCUCCACCGCCUCUCACGUGGAAGAUGCGGAUUAACGGUGAGGAAAGGAGACGGGCGCGCAAACGACAGAGAGUGGUCUUGCCGUUGCCUGUGCACAUCAAAAAAGUUGAAGGAGAGAAAGAAUAAGGGAUGUCCCUUCAUAAUUAAUUUCUCCCCCCCACGGAAACAUCGCGAUGGGGCCAAUUAUUGCCAGAAUGUGACUCCAUCGCCUGCUGCGUCACUGUCCACAGAGCUGUAUCCUCUAGGCAUCCGCAUGACGCUGAAUACAGUGAGAUGGGCACACACUUAUCUUUACAGUGUAAAACACACUGGUUGGUGUUGGAUUUUGAACUAAUUCUCUGCGAUCAUUCCUUUCAUUAGGUUGUAUUUGCGUGUAGAUGAACCAAUAGUUAAACAAGCAAAACAGCUAAUCAGCAAUUUAAAUGAAACAAUCUACUGCAUAAUAUGAUUUAUUAUAUGACAUAUUUUGUAUAUAAUGAAAAUAAUUAAUGUAAAUAACACUAAAUUUCAUUAUCGCUUAGUCUGGUGUGUGUGCAUGGAAAUCCUCCAUUAGUAGUGACACUUUAAAGUUGUAAAAAUAUAUAUAAAAAUAGUCUUUGGGAAAAAACAAACAAACAUUUAUUUUCAAGUAUGUAUAUAUACAGUUUAUGUUUUUAUAUGACCACUUCCAUUUUGCAUCCUGACAGC